rnacentral:tRNA from 1 species
GGAGGGUUCGCAUAGUGGUCUAGUGCGGCGCAGUGCUAAUGCGCUGUCCGGGAAACCGGACCGUGGGUUCAAAUCCCACACCCUCCG